rnacentral:rRNA from 1 species
GUGGGGAAUAUUGGGCAAUGGGCGAAAGCCUGACCCAGCAACGCCGCGUGAAGGAAGAAGGUCUUCGGAUCGUAAACUUCUAUCCUUGGUGAAGAUAAUGACGGUAGCCAAGAAGGAAGCCCCGGCUAACUACGUGCCAGCAGCCGCGGUAAUACGUAGGGGGCAAGCGUUGUCCGGAAUGAUUGGGCGUAAAGGGCGCGUAGGCGGCCCGGUAAGUCUGAAGUGAAAGUCCUGCUUUUAAGGUGGGAAUUGCUUUGGAUACUGUCGGGCUUGAGUGCAGGAGAGGUAAGCGGAAUUCCCGGUGUAGCGGUGAAAUGCGUAGAGAUCGGGAGGAACACCAGUGGCGAAGGCGGCUUACUGGACUGUAACUGACGCUGAGGCGCGAAAGUGUGGGGAGCAAACAGGAUUAGAUACCCCUGUAGUCC